rnacentral:rRNA from 1 species
CCAGACUCCUACGGGAGGCAGCAGUGGGGAAUAUUGCACAAUGGGGGGAACCCUGAUGCAGCGACGCCGCGUGGGUGAAGGAGUACUUCGGUACGUAAAGCCCUAUCAGCAGGAAAGAAAAUGACGGUACCUGACUAAGAAGCCCCGGCUAACUACGUGCCAGCAGCCGCGGUAAUACGUAGGGGGCAAGCGUUAUCCGGAUUUACUGGGUGUAAAGGGAGCGUAGACGGCAGUGCAAGUCCGGAGUGAAAGCCCGGGGCUCAACCCUGGGACUGCUCUGGAAACUGUAAAGCUGGAGUGCGGGAGGGGCGGGCGGAAUUGCUAGUGUAGCGGUUAAAGGCGUAGAUGUCAGGAGGAACACCGGCGGCGAGGGCGGCCUGCUGGUCCGCGACUGACGUUGAGUCUCGAAAGCGUGGGGAGCGACCAGGAUUAGAUACCCCGGUAA